UUGUUUACUCAUUGUACUUCCUUCCUUCCCUGCUCUUAUGAAUUUGAUGUGUGGGGACUGGGUAAGAAUAUACCUAAGAUUUCGGUUAUUAAGGCAUACCAGCUAUGAGGAAGUGUCACCCUACAUCUGACUCUUACACCCUGGACAUUUUAGACAGGGAGCUUUGGACAACCACAGAUUAAGCUUUUGGGUUGCUCCUUUGUAAGGACAUGGAGACUAUGUUCUGUUUGUGAGCAGGGUUAAUAUAGAUGCUGCUGGCUGGAGAGAAAAGCUGUAGAAAAGACAAACAGUGCUGCCCAGAGCAGAAUGCUCUUAUUUCAUAAUAGAGGACACCACACACACACACACACACACACACACACACACACACACACACACACACACACAGCACCACCACUAAACCAGAACAACAACAACCGAAAAAAAAAUCUGCUUAUUUUUAAGGCCUUUGUAAUGAGGUAGGACCUUUCAGCAGUGAAACAUGAACUUGUCUAGAUGUGAAAUAUUCGCCACAGCUUGAGGCUUGGUCCCCACCAGAUAAUGAUUUGAGAAAGUGAUGGGAAAUCUAGUGGUCACUUCCCACAUGCCUCUAGGAAGAUGCACAGCCACACUGUGGUCCUGGGCAGAGAUGGGAGUAAUGCUGCUCACACAGUGUGACGGUGAACCCUGAUUGUCGAUCGACAGGAUUUGAAAUCACCCAGGAGACGAACCUCUUGGGAUGUCUCAGAGAGAGUUUCUAGAUUGUGUUAAAUAAGAUAGGAAGAUGGAUCCUGAAUGCAGAUGGUAUUAUGCCAUGGGUACCAUUCCAGACUAAAUAAAAAGGAGACCGUGAACUGAGCUACAGCACUUGUUUCUCCCUGAGCUUCCUGACCGGGUGCAGUGGGACCAGCUUCCUCAAACUCCAGCCAGCAUGGCUUUACCUGCCGUAAGGUACAGCAACCUCGCUCUUAAUUAUCCUUAAGGUGCUUUUGUCAUGGCAGCUGGAAAUCUAACUGAUACAAUCAGUACGGGCUUUUCCCAUACUCAGAACUCUAGCUCUGACUAGUCCUCUACCAGAAACAGCUGUUCCUUUCUCAAUCAGCUGUCUGGGUUAAUCUUGGAACACUCUCAUGGCUGCCAUAAAUCUUAUUUCCACUCACCACUGUCUGUUGGCAGGCUUUAGCAUGGAAUCUUCGUGCUGUAGGCUUACACAGGCCUCCUACAGCCUCCUCUAGGUAUGUUGGCUUUCCUAAGACUUUCAGCAGAGCUCACUGCUCCUGUUCCUCUGCACCCUGAUUUCUUACUUAUCUACACUGUAUUCCCCUUUCCUUUGUACAGGGACUUCUAAUCCGUUUGGGAUAUUUAUGAAAGAAGCGUGAAAGGAAGAAGAACAAUUUGAAACAUCGUGUGUGAUUUCCUAACAAAGCUCCAGCCAAACUGAUAUGUGUCUUUGAAAUGAGCCCUGUGAUUCCUGUCCCUUCUGUCCUGAUUCUGCUGUCGCCUUCAUCCAGGUGGGAAGAAAAUGGAGUCUCCUUUGUUGUGCAGCCUCCGAUGUGGCCUCUGAUGACUCAUGCCUGUUUGUCUUCAUGUUCUGGCAACUUACCUUUACACUGAAGAGGGUAGACUGGUGUAAACAAUAGGACAGCAACAAAAUGGUGAAGGAUGUGACCUGACCUUUGGAGAGAACCUGAGCUGAUGAAGAGAGAGGUGAUCAUGAGGAGCCCAGAUCUUGUGAGCCUGUUCAACUUGAAAUACAUUGCUGCUGGUCCUGUCUCCGGAAUUUCAACUCAGUGUGCCAAUAUACCACUUCUAUUUGUUUAAUCCAUUUGGAAUUAAGACAUCAAGCAGUUGUGUGGAUUGGUAAGCAAAGACCCAUAAAACAUUCGGUACAGUGCUUCAAACUUCCUCCAGAUUGGGAUAUGUGUUACCACAGUUUACUAUGACUAUUUUAGCUGCUAUAACAAAAUCAUUAAAAUUUUAUCAUUCUAAUAUGCAUAUGGGUCCAAAAGAAUUACUGAUAGUCUCUACACUUGCUGAAAAAUAUUGGGAGAGAAAUCCAAUACUUACUGGUUUCCUGAAUCAUUUAAUACAUGCAAAGUCCUAAGAACGAACCACAUUGAUUAUAGCAAUUGACAAUAAUCAGCUGAACCAACCAUGGCCAACUGGAUGGCUGGGUCUCUAUUGUUAAUAUGAAAUGGCCAACAGCAGAGUCAACAAUGAUGGGAACAGGAUAGGCUAAAGAUCCCUGAGCUAUGCAAUCUGACAAACAAGGGAUCAAAUAUCUGUAAUUCAUAAGUCAUAUAGUAUGGAUUUGUACCAUAAAAAUCUCUGGGCUAUGUAAAAUGUGGCUAUAAGAUAAUUGUGACGAAUCAAUGGCAUUGUAAUAAUGACCUUCUCACUAUCGCCUGGCCCAGAUUGUAAACCUCCACAGUGAGUAUUAAUUUUGACGUCUGAGUUAUAUUGACAAUCCAAGAUAAAGGAGUUCAACUCCAAAGUGAUAUAAAUUAGUCUUUAACAUUUUAAUGGUCAAAAAUAUUGAUUAACUCUUAUUUCAGCAAAAUAAAUAUGAUGCAUGCAAAUAAUUGAAAUGUUCAGUUGUGAGACUAAAUGAAAAUGAGAAUUUACUGUGUAAUCUAAAGGAAUGCAAUUUUGAAAUAUUAAGCACCUGCCAACAUAUAAGCUAUCAGUGCGUGACCAUGCAGUGAGCUAAGACUAUAGGUAUUCUUCCUUGGUGAGAUGUAAGUUUGUGGGCAAACAGUUGUAACGGUAAUCUGAUGAGCAGAAUAUGACUGCUGAAGUAUUCAGUUCCCUGAAGAAAUGUUGAUGAAAGUUAAUGAUAUUAAUGAAGUAACACUGGGCAGAAGCUGGCCCAAAACAUACAUAAAUUUCAACGUAAGGUUAAAGUUUCUUUCUUCAAAGUAAAUUAUAUUCAGGUUGAUGGGGUUAGUGUAGGGAUUGGAGCUAUGGAUGCCUCAUGCUAUGCUUCUGCCAUAGUCAAUAAUACAUAAAAGACAUGGAGAAAGAUGCUAGCUCUGGACAGCGCUUGUGGAAAUGCAAGGUCUUUAAAAUAACAGUACCCGAGGCAGAAUGCCUUUCUCUUUUUCCUUCCCAGUUUCACUUGAUUCUUUCUAGGUAAAUAAAAAGGUCCCCACCCUGAACAAAUAGAAAAUGACUCAUAAAUGACAGUGCUCAAGUCACACCUGAGAAAAGUUGUCAUUAAAGAUGAGCUAAAGGGAAAAGUAUAAAAGACAGUCUUGUGUAAAUGUAUAACAGACCUUAAAAUCUAAGUUAAAUGGUCCUCUGUUUAUUGGAGGGACACUAUGUAGCUCAUAAAAGACAAAAUGACAUGAGCCAGGCAGUGUUUGUACCUCUGUGAAAAACUGUUAACUCUCUUGUAAGCAUGUACCCAAGAAUAUUGAAGGCAAUCAGGCAAGAAGCAUAUAAAAACGCUCACAGAGGUUUUUUUCAUUAUAGUCCCGAAGGAAGCUACUCAGAUGUUCGACAGCAGCAGAACUAAACCAGGAUGUUGAUACACGAAGACAGUAGGUAGCAAUGGAAGCAAGUUAUCCACUGCUGUAUUCAACAAAGCCAAUUAAUUAAGCAAAAUACAAAAGAGAUGAUAGCAUGUUGAUCAGUUUUAAUAAAAUGACUCUGAAAGGCGAAAUGAACCCACAGAUCCAAAAGUAGUUUCCUUGAGAAGGUAAUGGUGCCUGGGAGAAGUCUUAAGGGAAUUUUCUAAAUUGCAGGGUAUGCUGUGGUUUUUGUUUGAGAGUUGCAUUGUUGUGGAUGAGUUCAGUGAAUAGACAGUCACUGGAUAGACUUGAAUACUUUUCUCCACUAUGUUAUACUCUGAUUAUAAUUAUAUCUAUAUAUAAUUAUAUACAGGCCUAUAAUUACAGGUACCCAGGAAAGUGGGACAGGAGAAUCAUAACUCCUGCCUUACUCUGGCUACAGAGUUGAGCUUAAGGACAGUAUGGGCAACUUAGUGAGAAAUGUUUCUCAACGCUUUGUAAAAUGAGAAGAGGGCCCAGAAUAUAGUUCAAUGGUAGUGCAUUUACUAAGCACAUAUGAGACUCUAGGAUUAAUCUGCAGGACCAGCAUCUCUUAAAACAAGAAGGAAAUCAAGAGUAGAGACAGAUUUAGAAUGGGGGAAAUGGGAAUUGAUAUCUAGAGUAUGAAAAGAACAACAACAAUAACAACAAAAUAACCCUAGUAGUGAAAAACCAAAUAGUCUACCUGAAAAUACACAGUAGACCCAUAAAGAUAACUCUCAGAAAAGGGUAUAAUGCCAUGAGUAUUGCUCCAAGUAUAUGUACAAAGGAAAUGACAAAAAUGUGUCAGAGACUGCUACUUACCAUGUUCCCUGUUCUCAGUGGCCAUGCAAUGGAGCAAUGGAGAGUCAAUUCAGUGACAAAAGGAAUUCACAGUGUGGUGGAUGGAUGGAUAAAUGGAUGGAUGGAUAGGUGGAUGGAUGGAUGGAUGGAUGGAUGGAUGGAUAUAGAUAUAGAUGAUACAGACACAGAUUUAGAUAUAUAGAUAGAUAUAGAUAUAUUGUGGGAUACUACGUAGAUCCCCCAAAACAAAGUCCUUUAAUAUGAAAUGAGAAGACUGUAACUUUUAUGUUAUGUGAAGUAAGUCAGACACAGGAAGAAAAGAUCUGCAUCAUCUUGCCCAUGAAGCAAAAUCAUGGUUCUUGUCUCUUCAAUUUGAUGAAAAAGAAGCAGUAACUGGAUCUAAUAGGAGGUUAGAGUAGAAAUACUGUUUAUCUAGAGACUGGAGAGAAUAAGGUGAAGCAGCACAUGGGGGAACAUUGAUCAAUGCAUCCUAAGUAUAGGAAGAAAAAUUAUAAUAAUACUUUCUGGUAUUCUGUAAACAAUAGGGAGAAUAGAGAAAGCCAUUACGUACUGUCCCAUUUCAUAGUGCUCCAAGAAAGGGUCUUUAUCACAAAGUGAGGUCUGAGGAGACAGAGGUGUUUAAUCUGAGUUAAACAUUAUUAUCCAGUGUAACAUUGUUUGUUCCUGCAGAGGACCCAGGUUCAGUUCUCAGCAACUACAUGGUGACUCACAACUGAUGAUAAUUUUAGUUCCAGGGCAUCCAGUGCCCUGUGGCCCCCUUAUUCAGUAGGCACUCGAGUGGCACUUAUAUAGACAUUCAGGCAAAACAUGCAUACACAUACAAUACAAAUAAAAUUUAAAUAUCUUUAAAAACAGAGAGGCUUUCUAUAAAAAUUUUUCAUUUAAUAAAAUUUUUUCUUAGUUAUCCAGUUUACAUUCUGUUCACUGCCCCUGACCUGGUCACUCCCUGCUACAAUCCUUCCCUCCAUGUCCCCUUCUCCUCUGAACAGGUGCCCACCCCUAGAUAUCCCCCCACCCUGGCACUUCAAGUCUCUUUGAGGUGCUUGCUCUCCCACUGAGGCCAGACAAGGCAGCCCAGCUAGAAGAAUAUAUUCCAAUACAGGCAACAGCCUUUGGGAUAGCCCCCAUUCCAUUUGUGUGUUUCAUUAGAUAGUGGAAGGAGGCUGCAGGGGAGGGUCAGGAGUAGCUUGGAUUGGAAGAGACAAGGUAAAGGAGAAUCACUAGAAUACACUGAGUUUGUAGUGUUGUAAUGCCAUAUAACAACUUACAUUCACAUUUAAAAAAACUUUGAAAAUUUAAACUUGAAAAUACCUAGUUAAGGAAGAAAACAAUAGAGAAUAAGUGAAUAUGAAUUAUGUAAUAUAUAUAUAUAUGCCAUUAUAAAACACUGAUUUGUAACAUGAAUAUGAGUCAACAAAAAAUGUCUUUUGUGAGGAAUGGAAAGAUAGCUCAGUGGUUAAGAGCAAAGCUGUCCAGAGAACCCAGGUUCAAUUCCCAGCACAUACAUGACAACUUACCACUGUCUACAACUCUAGCUCUAAGGGAUCCAAUGCUCUCACCUGUCCCAACAAGCACUGAAUACAUGUGGUAUAUAGACAUACAUGCAAUCAAAACACCCAUCCACAUGUAAAAACGUGUCCUUUUACAAUAAAUAAGCAAAGCUCUGGGUUUCGUCAGGUAGUACAACAACCUCCACUUCCAAAGACAACUCUAUGUUUUCAAAAACUUUGCUGUUGGGUGGUACCAGGAAAGCAGACCUUGGUGGUGAUGUGCUUCGCUCUGGUUUAUAAAUUAGCCCACCUCAUGGUCAGCACGGUGAGUACUUGACAGGACUUUUCAAGCUCAUGGACUUUUACUUAAAAUCAGAUAAAAUAUAUUUUUUUCUUUUUAAAUCAGUCUGACUUUGUUAAGACUAAAAUUUUUAAUCCUUUUAUAUCAUCUUCAGUAAGUAACUAAUUUUUUUACUCUGACUAAAUCGCUACGGAACAUAAAGCUUUGUUAACAUUUUGGCAGGCAUUAGUGAAAGAGCCAAUUAAAGGUAUCACUCUUGAGUCUGAGAACACACACACUAUAAUACUUAUACGAAGUCUCAAAUUAUGCUAUGUUGGGUUUUAUUUUUAAUUAAAUUUACUUGUAACUAAUCUGAGAAAAAACAAAUAUUGAACAUAUUGACAGCAUAAUGCGCUAUUUUAUUUUAAUUCACACAUUUUGAUCGUUACACUGUCUAAUGUUUAAAUCAUGUUAAACACAUCUGUCUCCUCACAUUCCGCAUGGACCGUACCUGUAUGAUGAAGACCCUCACCAUCCUUUCUUGGAGCCUUUAGAAACGGGAUGAUGUCAUCUGAGAUCUCCCACUGUUAAUAUCACACCAGGAAUUCUUGUUGUUUUCGUUCUCUCCUGUUACCUUUUAUAUCCUGUGCUAGUGCUGGCACCUAGGGCCACAUGGCACUGCAGAGUAUCUUGAGCCCUUCCAGCAUAGAACCUUGCCACACUGGUCCCUGGAGUUAGUUCUGGCACCAGAGGGCCAGAUGGAACUAACCAUAAUUUAAUCUCUGGUGAGUAUCUCUCCUGGCAGCUCUCUACUAGCCACAAACUCUCUGGUUCCAGCUACCUGGUAAAAUUAGGGCUCUAGAAAUCGAGCAUGGGGCUGGCCUAUCACAGCUCCCUGCCAUAGACUCUGUCCACACUCCCAGUAACAGCUCCCUGGAAGUUAAAGUAUAAACUCCCAACUACCUGAUGAAAUCAUGAUUUAAUAAACUGUAACAACAAUCAGAUUUACAUGUUAAAUUCUCAAUCCACAACACAUCCACACAAUAAACUCACAACCAAUUGAUAAAGAUAUAAACCACCCACAUCGAUAAGAUAAAUUGACCUAUAGAAAUCCAUGCCUUAAGAAAUAUUCAUAGCAACCUGCAUCUAUGUAGAGAUGCAUGGUGAGGAUCAUUUAUGUCUGAGACCAUCAUGUGGUCUCUUUCUUUCUAAAACUUCUGUUCCUGCCUCCUUUCCUUCUCAUUCAAUGUCAGGCUUUGUUUUGUCUUGUGUCUGCCUUCACCUGCAUAAUGACAUUAACCUACAUCUUUCUAUAACUUAGUAUGUAUUCAUCAACCCUACCCCAGCCAUUCUUCCUCUGUAUUCUCUCCAGUCACAAUUUCUAUUACUCUUGAUGUAAAAGGUAUUUAGUUCAUGGGGUAGCUCACAUUUAGGAUGAGAAAAAGUCACAUAGUAAGUUCAGCUAAAGGGAUCCUGUGAUCAUUAACUUCUGCAUCAGAAAAAUCCUUUUCCCAAACCACCAAUAAACAAUGACCAUAGCCAGUUUCCAAUCUAAACGUCCCUUAGCAUGGCAAAGCAGAAUCAACCUACUCUUGCAAAGAGAUAAAGUGUUUGAUGAAUCUGCAACAUUAAAGGCCACCACAGGCUGCUCUCUCUUUCAUUCUGAUAGUUGUUGGCUAAUGUUUAGAAAUGGGCCCUUUUCUACUCCUGCAUUCCAAAAAAAUGAUGUGGCCAGAAACUCAUUAAAUAAAAAAUAGAAUGUCUUCAUUAAGAGUGCCUGGGACUAGUGGAGUUGUCAGUUUCAGAGUUUUGAAAUACGGGCCCGAUGGGGAAUGAAGAGACUUGGCACACUAAAGAUGCAGCUGGAGUAGUUUUAGCAGAGGCUGAGGUUUUUCUGGGGGUAGCAUACAAACAGAAGGGUGGCCGUGAAACCAAAGAGCGUUCUAGGCAGGAGGACAGGCUGAGCAGAAGGACAGUAAUAGAGAUAAAUGUUCAGCAUGACAUAUGAGAAGAAAAGCUGGGGCGACAGAAAAGAGAACUGAUUUACACUCUGCUUCCCAGAACCUGAGAAGCAUCACUGGAUAGUGAGUUCAGAACACCCUCCGGUGGGAGGCUCUUACUGAAAUUGCUCAGGUGGUUUCAGGUUUCAUUAGGGGGAAGUUUAUUACCUGAAGCAAACACAGCUGAUGAGCACAGCCAUUUUUCUCUAAGUCCAUACUAUCUUUAAAAAAAUAAAUAUAAAGUUUAUCUAGCGAUUCCAAUGUAUAUGUCCUCAAACACCAUAAAGAAUCACUAUUUUUUCUACUUGCCUUGCCAGCUAGGUUUUUUUAUCUGAAAUUUUGUAAACAUGAACUUUGAAGUUGAAUUUUACAUUUCCUUCUAAAAAUAAUAUGUUGAAAAAUUGAAUGUAAACUCUAUAGGAUGUUCAAUUAAGGACCAGUGGCUACCAUUCGGUCAUAUAACAACAUAACUUCCUUUGAAGAAAUGAGGGGAGGCUAACUGAGUUGGAGAAUAAAUCUCAGUGGCAUCAGAAUUUGGGGGACUAAAGUGAGGACUUCUUUGUCUUCUUUCUUUCCUCAGCUCCAACCCCAAUGCCUGGCAUUAAAUUAUUCAUCAGUAAAUGCUGAGGUUUAAACACACUGUACAUCCUAGUCAAGAUGCUCCAUUGAGACCAUCUCCAUGGUAACAUGGUACAAAUGAACAUGUACAAAAGUUGCCUAGGCUGGUGUUAGGUAAUAUAAAAAUCAUAAAAAGAGAUAGGAACACUUCGAUGGAUCCAACGCUCCUUGUGCAAGAUGGAGGACUUGAGUGAAGAUAUCCCCUUGAGCUACAUAAACUAGGCAUGAAGCACUAAUCUACAAUCAGAGGCUCUAUGAGAAGAGGAGGAGCAGAGACAGGAGAGUCCAAUAGCCUAUUGCCUGUUAUACACACAAUGGAAUAAGAGACCCUAUGUUGAUCAAGGUAGCAGGAAAGGAUCAACAUGCAAGGUUAUCCUUUAACCUCCUCAUGAUGCCAUAGCACACAAACAUGCACACAAGAGAUAGAGAGAGAGGGGGAGGGACAGAAGGAGGGAGAGGCUACAAAGUAAAUAGUACAAAAUAGAGUAUAUAAGGACUAUAUUUUAAACAAUAAUUCUAAAACACUUUUUAUUCGUGAAUCCCAAGUGACCACUCUACUUUCCACAGGUUUUCCUGUGUUUCAAACAGUCUCCCUUGCAAAUUUAGCUGCCGUUGACCAUCUUGAGUCUACCAUUGAGGCUAUUGGAACUAUGAGGAGACAUAAUGACCACUAGAAGAAAAUAGUGUGGGUUUCUGGUGACACAAACAUCUGAGUCUGCUUUAGCUGUCAACGAAGAGCUUCCAGAAGAGUCGACUUGAGAUAAAUUCCCCUCUCCUGGGACUUUAGGACUUCACUCUUAAAGAAAAUGUCUACAGUGUCAGUGCCAAGAAAGGAAGACUGAGGCACAAAGUGUGCAGUGUAGUUUCUGGUUUUACAAAGAAAAAUCUCAAGCAUAUUAGCAGCUGGAUGUAGGGCAAGCACAUGCAUUUCCAUAUCAAACCAACAUGCUCACAGGAGAAUGAUCUGUCUUUAUAAACUGGAGAAUCUUGCAAAUUGAUCUCAUGGGAAUGUUUUCCCAGGACCUGAAUCUUACGCAUACGUUUCAAAAAUGAAUCAAAGGGAAAUGGCAGUAUUUCAAAUAAAAUUAGCCAUAGGCAGGCAAAAAGUUCUGAAAUCACACAUUUUAACAGACCCUAUACUACCUAGCUACCUAGAAGACAUCCAGAAGCUUUGCAAGAAAGCAAGUCACAGUCUACAUUGUUAAUUCCUCAGCUGCACAGCUGGUGUUCCAGAGGUAACUCUGUUGGUGAGGCAACAGCCUAUUUACAUGGAAGGAAGCAGCAAAGCAUUUCUGUACCCAGACUAAGUCUCACCACAGGAUGCUAGGCCAGACUGUGUACACAGCACCCCACAUGAGUCCUCAGUGCAGGUGAAAUGGAACUGAAGGUGGGCUUGCUAGAUCUGUGCUCGUUAUAGUAUCUAUAUGAGAGGGUUGUGGUAAGAUAAAUCAGUAGCCUGCAGUAACCCACCCAGUUACUACAUCAUCAAAGGAGGCCUGGAGACAUGAUCAGGAAUAUAGGUUUUGAUUCCUAAUAAGGUUCCUGGAGUUCAGAAUCUCUCAGUUGUUAUUUUUCACUUUGGAGCAUUUACAGAAUAAGUCUUACACCUUUGCUUCCUCACAGGCAAAACAACAAUGAGUCCUUCUUACUACAGACAGAAAUCAGUCUCUAGGUUGUGAGGACUCAGGUAUAAUGCUUUGCUUACACUAAAAGCCACAACCUUUUCUCGGAAGGACCAGAUAGUAAGUAAAUGUGUGUGGCUUGGGGAAGGAGGGCAGUUUGUGAACUGUCACAACAACACACUCUACUCGGGCAGAGCACAAAAGCUGUCACAGAGAAUUAACGAGUGGCUUUAUCUCUCCAAAACUCUGGGCAUGGAAGAGCCACAUACUGCUCAGGCUGCAAGGUGUGACAGUUUAUAGAUUUCCUAGCAAUAUUAUUAUACUUUGUUCAACUCCAAGCAUUACAUAAGCUGGUCAUAGUCAUAGGCACACACCUAUAAUGGCAGAUGUUUGGAAGUAGAAACAGCAGGAUCUGGUGUUCUAGGCCCUUCUUGGCUCCAAACUAGAGAACCUGUAUCAAUGAGGAUAAGAAUGAGAGGAAACAAUAUAUCAAAAAUAAAUCCAAGCACAGCAAAUUGUUUCCAACAUUCCACAGACUUCAUGAGUGCUUCGUGUAUAUUUGUUUAUCAAAUCUUGGACUGGGAAUGUAGCUCAAGGCCGUGAUCACGUACUUGCUUAGCAUACGCAAGGCCCUAGGAUCGCUUUCCUCACUAAUAAAGAUCAGUCCUGUGCAUCUGUAGUAGAAGCAGGCGUAUCAAACAUUUAAAGUUAGCAUUGGUUGCACAGUGAAGUUCAAAUCAGGCUACAUGAGUCUGUGUCUCAAAAGAUAAAAACAAACACUCAAACUAAAAUGUACUCGUUGUCUGUCACUUUCAAGGUAAAGGUGGAUGCUGCUCCUGUUUUGAAAAUGUCAUUUUUAAGUAAUUGAUACAAUGCUGCACAGUUACUGACCUCCGGAGUUAGGAUCUGAGUGAAGGCCUAGGUUUUGCUCUCUGUGCUCUUCACCAGUCUUUCUGACUGUGAUGUGGGAGUAACUUGGCUUUGAGAUAGAGAUUGCAUACUGUUUGGUCAGCCUUUAUGCUUAGACUGUUGUGCACAGCAUGUACCACUAUGGCGGAUCAAAAUGACAAUUAAGAUUCUUGUGUGUGUGUGUGUGUGUGUGUGUGUGUGUGUGUGUGUGAUCACAACAGCAUUCAUGCUUUUGUUACCUUACUUAAUCCCACAUCCCCAGAGAGUGCCUUCUAUUACUAUCUCCAUUUGGCAGGUGAAAGAGCUCCAGGCUGAAAGACAUUAACUUUCUCACCUCGGGUCACAUAGAAAAUUACAGAGCAAGGAUAGAAUCCCAAAAUAUUAGAUUCCAAGGUCUAAAUGUCAGGGCCUUUAAACUCUGUACCAAGAUGUCCCUUUCAGCUCAGAAGUAUCAUAUAAUUGAUAGAGACUUGAUGGGGCCUCAGGAGCUCACAUCCUGAUUGUUUCUAAGACCUUUGGAGAUGAGCUGACAUAGCAAACACUAGUGUCCAACUCAGCAGACAAACAAAAGACAAAGGUUGGAGCUUGGCAGAAAGUCAGAAGGAAAAGAUCAUUCCCCUGAUACUUCCAGUUCCCUUCCCACCCUGUCUGAGCAGCCCAUGGGAAGCUUCCCAACGUGCUUCCCUUUGCACAGGCCCUGAUCUCAUGGACUUGGGUAGGAUAUAAGCAGGUUUCCUUAGGCUGCUGCCUAUUAGAAUAAACUGGGGCACAGGGGUGGGUGUAAAUCCCCCCAAAAAUUAUAAAAAAGAAAAAUUAAAGGGUAAUGUCUUCAGACCAGGCUUCCCACUUGAGUCACUUAUAUAUGUGAAGUAUUUAGCACAAAUCCUUACACAGAAGCACUUUGAAAAGUUUUUAACUGGAAGUGUGAAGACGGGUGAAGCAGAUUUUGUACUUGUAUCAGUGAACUGAGUUUAAUAGAGCAAAAUGGUCCGUGGUGCUCCUCGGAAAACACAGGUAAGUAAAUUUGCCAUUGACUUUCCCAAGACCUGAGAGGUGGUUUGGUAUAUUUAUAUACAGAAAUCAUGGGUCAUUAACCUUCUUAAGGCUAGGCAUGAUGGCUGGCUCCAUUCCAUUUCCUUUUGCUUAGUGACCUCUAUGGUAUAAAGAUACUACUUACGUCUUAAACUGACUCUGAGUCUGUUUGGUAUAGGUUAGUCUCACUUUAAUCAUUAAUUUGUAGUGAGAUGGUCUGAUGCUGCUUGCAUUAAAAUGCUAAAUUCUAUACCCCAAGAUCUAAUUGAUCCAAGACCAGCAUAUCCUCACAUAUACCAGUGUAUACCAGCUUUUGCUGUAUAAACCUUACCUGACACCUCUUUUAUCCAUGAUUGGUUAGUAAAUAUGCCUACAGAAUAUAGCUGGGCAGAAGAGAGGUAGGUGGUGCUUCAGUUUCCAGACUUGGAGUCUGAGGCAGAGACCACAGAGGCCAGGCAGGGGUGGGGGAGAGGAGAAAGGAGGAAGCCACACUAGGGAAGGUGAAUCUUGAGUGCCAUGAGGACCAGCCUGUUGAGUAGGAGUGGCCUAAGCAGAAUAUGUCAAGUGACAUAUCAGGGUUAUUGACAGGGAAAUAGGUAAAAUAGCACAGAGGGUUAAUAUCUGCCUAGCUCUAGUGCUUUGAGGUUUGUUAUGAAUAUAAAGGUUUUGUGUCUUUUUGGGGGGAAUUAAAUGAUCUAAGAUGGGGUAGAGACCCCCGAAUAAUAUUUAUCACAACAGUGAUCAAAGCCCACAACUUUAAUCAAUUGUAUUUGAAUCAAGAAAGACUUUGAAAUUAAUAGCAAAGUAAUGGAAAUCCCCUAUAUAUAGGGACAUUAAGUUGACAGAGUAGGUUACAAAAUGGCAACCAGUCUUGGUGGGAACAAAGGGAGCGAUUGCCUCUGAAGAUGACAGCUGUUCAGCAAACAGAGGAAGAGGAAUGAGGUGCAUUUGUGUUUGAGAGGAUUAGAAAUCCACGUGAGAACACUGGGGAAAAACCACACAAACAUUCUGGUGAGAUCAAGUCAAAGAGGAUCUGCUUAUAUAAAGAUCAGUUCCUGAAAAGAUGGAGUCUAGAUAUACUCUUCCCAGUUACCUGCCAUUGUCUUGAAACAUGAUUGCCCUUAGAAGGCUAUCAAUGACAUGGCCAGAGAAGAAUGGUGGCUAAUGAUGACAUUUUCCCUUUACAUUCACAAUGAAGGAUGAUUUGUGGGUAGUGAGAUAUGCUGUAUUGAAAGUCAUGUGAUCUAUACAGAAUGCAGAGAGACAACAGCCAGCCCGAGAUCUCCCAGAUAACAGCAAAAGGAUGGGUUGGAGUUCCUAGCAAGGACAGGGCCAUUUUUCUCAAAAAAAAAAAAAAAAGCAUAAGUAACUUCAUUAGAGUACAAGAAAGUAAGCCCAGUCCAUCGAUACAAAAAUCAUAUAACAAGAAGAUCAACACAAUGUAGUGAGUUUUAGACACACCAAAGGGGUGUACACAGCAUGCAGAAUGGUAAUACGUCUCUUUAUGUACCAAAGCCUAUGGAUUCCAGAGAACUUAAAGAGUAACUUUCUGUGAUAAAUAUUAGAGCAUUAAACGUUUACAGUAGGCAAACUUGUACCUCGAAUUUUCUACAUUUGGGUUCACAUGGUAGGGGAUUUCUUUCUGUUCGUCAUAUAGGUAACAGCAUGGAGCAACUGAAUUUGGCUGGAGAGCUCCCAAUCCACUGUUCUUUACCUCUCUGUGGAGAUGGUCAUUUCAUAAUCUUCUAUCUUUUAUGAUCACCAGACAAACAAAUCCAUCCAUGAAGUAGGAUUCCUGUCUUCCAGCCUCAAUCGUCUCCCCGAGGCUGGCCAGCUGCCCCAAACUGGAAUGGAAUGUGGGAUUCCCUGUUCUGAUGGUCUCUUGAGUGAUGGGAUAAAACUGCAGGAGUGGACAGCUAUUUUGACAAGAGGGCUGAGGCACAGAAAACGUUUUGACAUAUCUCACGCCAAGACUCCAGUUUUAGGGGAUACUGUAUUUUCUUAUAAUAAAUUUCAUCCUUACAUUUUUAUUCUUGCUCAAGUGGGUCUCCACUUCUGCCAAAUAAGAGCCUGAACUAAUACAGAAACGGGAUUGAGCUAUUCGCAGAAUCUAUCCACUUUUCCUCCUGAACUAGGGGCCUAACAAAAUGAAUGUUUGCCAGGCAGAAUGACCCAAGUAUUCGGUUUGAAUACUGAUAAGCAUUUUCCACACAUUGCAGUUAGAUAUAAAAAAUCUGGUCUUAAAUUAAGAUUGGCGUAUCUGGGCUUCCAGAUGGUGACUUACAUCUUGAAGUAAAAUGAAAUGACUUCUGUCUCUUAUGGUAGUUCUGACAUCACCAUUUAUUUCAGAGUCAGAGUGUACUGUUAGCCGCUGCAUAAAACCUUCUCAAAAGGGACUAUUGUUGUGAGCUUUAGUAGGGUUAGGGGGACAAACCCAAUUUGGGAACAGGGUAUUAUAAAGGGUAGGAUUGAAAGCAAAGAAUUUCGGAAAUAGCUCUUCUGUUUCUUUGAAUAGCUCGAGUCACUGCUGAUAUUAUUUGGAUGAAGAUAAAAAAAUAUUAAAAAAGAAUAUGCUUUUAGAGUUGGCUAAUUAGAGGUUCAUGUCUCACCUCUGUCACAUAAACUUUGACUCAGUUACUUUUCUAAGCUUCCAUUUCCUCAUUUGUAGAAUGAAAAACCACAGUUUUUCUUUUCUAUAGAACUUUAAGAAGAAAUAUAAUAGAAGCUAUGGGCAUUGUAGAUAUUCAUUGGAUUGUAGUUACUAUUACUAGGCCAAACCAAGUUGUUAGAUUAUUAGAUUGUUUUUGCAUUAAUUCAUUGGUGCAUUCAUUAAUUCUACAAGGAUUUUGCUGUCGUUCUUAUUGUUUUGUUAUAUUAAUUCCUGUAUUAAUUCAUUUGUGCAUUCAUUAGUUCCACAAGGAUUUUGCUGUUGUUGUUAUUGUUUUUCUGUGCCUACUGUGAGCAAAUCCGUGGGCUGGAGACUGCAAGUAUGUUAAUGAAGAGAAGCAAGAUCCAAGUCUUCAUGAUAUUUAUGAUUCAGUGAGAAUUAGAAAUAACAAACAAACUAGACAGGGAACCUCAUGUUGUAGAACCCAUCAGGGCGAUGUCCUCACAGGGUCCCAGCUGAGUAGCAAGUGCCUCAGUGUUCUCUGUUCUUUGAAAUUCAGUGUUUAUAAACACUUCCCAUUGUUGUCUCAUGCUUAUUCUUUAACCACAUGUAAGAGCUACCUGGACCAUUCUCUACUGUCCACUGUGUGCACACUUGCCAUCUGUAUCUUUUUAGACUAAAUAAAUAAAUAAAUAAAUAAAUAAAUGGAGUAAAAGCUUGCAAUUUAGAAGUUGAGCUACUUGGGUUGACAUUGAUUCUCCCCAAGAGUCAUAAACUAUAUAAAUGAAACCCCAGUACCAGGCAUAAGAAACCCAUUUUUGAGUUGUUUUUGUCCAAGAAACUCCUCAAGCAGGCUAUUGCUGUUGCAUUUGGUUGCCUAUUGAAAGCACCAUAAACUUUAAACCCAGCACUCAGAGGAUCAGAGCUGAAUCUAACCCAAAAGCCUCCUUUCUGAGGAUCAAAUUCCACAGAACUGUCAGAUGCUAUGCAAGCUACUGAGGAAAGGAAGUAACUAAUAGUCCUGCAUAGCCUGUAGCCCACAAUGGGCACCAUAGCAAGAUAAAGAUGCAGUAGUGGCACUCAUAGCUUGGCAGUAAACAACGGCUGUCUUGGUGGAUUUAAGUCUGCUCAGCCAGAAGGAAACCAUGCCUGAUAUUGGAAAUCUAGUCAACUACUCAUAGUUAGCGAGAUCUUUGGGAAGAAUCUGCCACUAUCACUUUACUAAAUCAGUGUAAUUCCCAACUGCAUUCUAAGUGCUUAUCCGUCCACCUUCAGGUGAACUAUGGUUCCCAGCCCUCAGUAAAGAAACUUCUCUUUGCAUCAAACAUAUACUGUUACAGAGAAACACAACUGGUCAAAAUGAGAGAACAAUUGGUUGUGUUCAUUCCUAAUGGGUACAUUUACAAUACAACUCUUUCACCUAUGCUUCAGGCAACAGCACAGAAGAAGUAGAAAGAUAAGAGCUAUCAGAUCAGGAAAUCUGCUAUAAGAUUGUGUCUUCCAUAAAAGAUAGAGAAGCUUCACCCAGGCUGCUUAAACAAGACCUGACAAAAUAUAAAAACAGUAGAUAAGCUAAAAUGGAAGAGGAGAAUUCUCACAGUAUGCCAUCCAUAGACAACAAAACAGAGCAAAACAAAACUGUAGGUAACCAAGGGAUGCUGGCAGCAGGAGUAGUCUUUCUUCCUCAGGAUGAAUUCCUAUUUGGUUAUACAAUACUAGUGGUCAGUCACAUUGUAUAAGUAACACUAAAUGGAGUGAGAAGAUCAUAUUUUAGUAUUCAGUUAUGUUGCAUGUAUAUGUGUUAUAUACAUGCAUGUGUGUGUACCAAUAACAAUUAGGAAAUUUAAUAUUCAGAUAUAAUAUGUAUGCUGUACACAUAAAUACAUACAUACAUAUAUGUAUGCAUAUAUGUACUUGUGUGUGUACCAAUAACUAUUAGGGAAGAGGAGGCCAAAGGUUUGAUAGUAAGUUGGGGGAAGACAUGGGAGGAGUUGGAGGAAGAAAAAGAAUGGAGAGAAAUGAUAUAACUUUAUUUUAAUAAAAAUGUUAACUGAAAAACUUACAAUUUAAACUAAUAACAAAUGUGUUCACUUUGAAUAUUCAGGGAUCAAUUUUCUCCCUGUGGAGACUAAAGCCAAACAAAGCCAUUUCUGUCUCCACUAUGAGGUUUGCCCAGGAUUGACUGGGAACCUUGAACCUUGGCAUCAUUUUUAAACCUAGACAGGUUUACAAAUAAACAGGUCUAGUAUUUUCCAGAGGAUCCCUGGCUCAGCCUCCUCAUAUUUGCUUGUGUCUUUCACUCUCCUUUUUAAAAAUCAAUGGUUCCUUCAGUGCUCAAUCUAGGCAUUUCCUCAUCUGAUGGGUUGUGUUAUCUCAUUUAUUAAUUCAAUCAUCCUUGUAUACAAGGUCUUAGAAAUUUAUUGCCAAAUUGUUUGCCUAGUUCAGUUUUCAUUGGCCUUGGCCUAACAAGGUUGUACUUAGGCAUUCUUUCCUGGGAUGAAUUUCACAUCACCUGUGGGGGUCCAUACAGAACUCUAUAGGUUACACGGUUAGUGAUUAGUCAACGUGGACUUUUGAGCACACACUCAGAGGAACGUAGUGACUGAUAAGUAAUCUUUAGAACCAUGUGGAUCUCUUGACUACAGCACUCACCAGGCAGGAGUUUGAGCUUUUGGAUUAUUAGUCCCAGCAUCACUCAGCUCUCUGUAGACUCCGGUUAGCAUUCAUAACAGUCUUAUUUCUUCUUGCAUGCACAUUUUCGGUUUCAAACAUUUUAAAACCAGUAGGGAUAAACAGUGCAAGGUGACAUACACUCUUUAGAGAGUAUCAGCAAUUUGGCCAGGUCAUAAAAAUAUUCAACAAUGCAACACUAUCUUUGUCACAUCGCAUGUGCAUGUGUAGUAUACAUUUGUGUGCAUAUGUGCACACAGGUACAGAGGCCUAAAAUUAAUAUUAGGUGUCUCUAGCUCAUCUCUUGAGAUUCACUGAAGCUAGAGCUCAGUGGUUCCUAGACUGUCUGGCCAGUGAGGCUCUGAUAGCUCCCUUUCUCUGCCUCCUGGCUGCAAACACAGGCACACCUCACACUACUUGGCUUUUCACAGAGGCAUUGGAGAUCUCAACACAUAUCCUCAUGCUUGCACAACAAGCAUUUUCCCACUGGGCCAUCUUCGUAACCUAAUGCUUGCAAGAUUUAGAAAACAAAGGCCUGAUAAAUAACUUCUCUGAUUACUGGGGACACCUUAAGUAAAUCAGAUAGUCCUCUAUACUUGUGAUAAAAGUGGAGGAUACAUUCAUGUCUUAGACCAGAGAUCUCAAACUCUCUGUGCUUCAAGUUUUUCCAUAGAUGUAGGUCAGUUAAAAUCUAAUUUUAUAUAAGAAACUGGUGUUUUAGCUCCUUGAAAAAUAUCAGAAGUUUCUCAGCACAGGGCCUUCAUGCAUUCAAAGGAACAACUUACUAGAUGGUGGUGGCAGCCAUUAGUGACCUCAUUCCAAUUAAAACCAGCAUAUCCGUCGUGGGUUGCCCUGGUGCUGUUUAUAUUCUGAUGUUAAUUCUGCUUUCUCAAGAAAGGCAGCACAGACAGAGAGGAUCUCCUACUCAGGUGAUUUCAAGUAAACCUUCUCCCCAUUUUCAUUGGUCAAAUAUUGUCUAGAGCCUGUGAUUGGGCGGUGGAAAGGAAAGGUGGGGCUGGAGGAUUAGAGAGUAGGGGAGACAGGAAAGGAGAAAGAAGACAGAGGAAGAGGAGGUGGAAGGAAGAUGGAGCAGAGCCACAUGGCCAGGAGAAGCCACAAGUAGUAAGGGACCUCACAGCUGGGCAAGAGAGUAGUGUAGUGGUAAAUCUGCCCGAUCUAGGCAUGAAGUGUAUUAAUAUUGUAACUGAGGUUAUUGGGGUCGGAAAUUCGCUGCAACAUUUCCUCUCCAGCUUAUAGUCUCUGUCGCUCCGUCCUUGUCUCCAAUUUGGAGAUCUUAAGUAUUUUUAAUUUUCUAAAUUCCUUGUUCAUUUGGAGUUGUAACCCCUGGCUUAGGUGAUCUCAAGCAUGUUAACUUAAUAAACUCCACAGAAGUAGUACUUCUGAUCACCAAUAAACAAACAGAAGCUCAGGGAGAUGGUAGUUAUGUAACAGUCGACCUGUGCUGAAAAACAGCAAACAGGCAAACAAACACAACCAAAGGAAAGAAUAGCAAAACAAACAAGCAAAUGAACACACACACACACACACACACACACAUACACAUACACACACACACACACACACA